UACGUAGGUGGCAAGCGUUGUCCGGAAUUAUUGGGCGUAAAGAGCGCGCAGGCGGUCGUUCAAGUCGAGUGUGAAAGCCCCCGGCUCAACUGGGGAGGGUCACUCGAUACUGAUCGACUUGAAGGCAGGAGAGGGAAGCGGAAUUCCCGGUGUAGUGGUGAAAUGCGCAGAUAUCGGGAGGAACACCAGUAGCGAAGGCGGCUCGCUGGGCCAUUCCUGACGCUGAGACGCGAAAGCUAGGGGAGCGAACAGG
rnacentral:rRNA from 1 species